GUUCCCAUCGAUUAGUGGUCAGAUCAUCACGUUGUGGCCUGGCGCAAGCUGGACGAAACCGUGGAGACGGGGGCUCGACUCCCCCUGGGAACA